rnacentral:rRNA from 1 species
AGCAGCCGCGGUAAUUCCAGCUCCAAUAGCGUAUAUUAAAGUUGUUGCAGUUAAAAAGCUCGCAGUUGAACUUCGGGGUUAGUAAGUUGGUCAUGCCUUCGGUAUGUACUGGCUUUACUGAUUCCUCCUUCUUGACGAACCGUGAUGUCAUUAAUUUGGUGUUGCGGGAAAUCAGGACUGUUACUUUGAAAAAAUUAGAGUGUUUAAAGCAGGCUAACGCUUGAAUACAUUAGCAUGGAAUAAUGAAAUAGGACGUUAAUCCUAUUUUGUUGGUUUCUAGGAUCGACGUAAUGAUUAAUAGGGAUAGUUGGGGGCAUUAGUAUUCAAUUGUCAGAGGUGAAAUUCUUGGAUUUAUUGAAGACUAACUACUGCGAAAGCAUUUGCCAAGGAUGUUUUCAUUAAUCAAGAACGAAAGUUAGGGGAUCGAAGACGAUCAGAUACCGUCGUAGUCUUAACCAUAAACUAUGCCGACUAGGGAUCGGAUGAUGUUAUUUUUAAUGACUCA